rnacentral:siRNA from 1 species
GCCACAACCAUACUCCAGGGCGA